GGACGAACGCUGGCGGCGUGCUUAACACAUGCAAGUCGAACGAGAAAGGCUCUUCGGAGCUGAGUACAGUGGCGAACGGGUGAGUAACACGUGGGCAACCUGCCCUAGGGAGCGGGACAACCCGAGGAAACUCGGGCUAAUACCGCAUAAUUCGCAGCGCCUCAAGGCGCUGCGGGAAAUGGUAGCUUCGGCCUCCGCCCUGGGAUGGGCCCGCGGCGCAUUAGCUAGUUGGUGUGGGUAACGGCCCACCAAGGCGACGAUGCGUAGCUGGUCUGAGAGGACGAUCAGCCACACUGGGACUGAGACACGGCCCAGACUCCUACGGGAGGCAGCAGUGGGGAAUCUUGCGCAAUGGGCGAAAGCCUGACGCAGCAACGCCGCGUGCGGGAAGACGGCCUUAGGGUUGUAAACCGCUUUCAGGGGGGACGAAGCUUCCGAGGUUAAUAGCCUACGGGGGGACGGUACCCCCAGAAGAAGCCCCGGCUAACUACGUGCCAGCAGCCGCGGUAAUACGUAGGGGGCGAGCGUUGUCCGGAAUCAUUGGGCGUAAAGCGCAUGCAGGCGGUUUUUCAAGUCGGACGUGAAAGCUCCUAGCUCAACUAGGAGAGGCCGUUCGAAACUGGAAGACUUGAGGAUGGUAGAGGAGAGUGGAAUUCCCGGUGUAGUGGUGAAAUGCGUAGAUAUCGGGAGGAACACCAGUGGCGAAAGCGGCUCUCUGGGCCAUUCCUGACGCUCAGAUGCGAAAGCUAGGGGAGAGAACGGGAUUAGAAACCCCGGUAUUCCUAGCCGUAAACGAUGUCAACUAGGUGUAGGAGGUCAUUUACCCCUUCUGUACUGUAGCUAACGCGUUAAGUUGACCGCCUGGGGACUACGGCCGCAAGGCUAAAACUCAAAGGAAUUGACGGGGACCCGCACAAGCAGCGGAGCGUGUGGUUUAAUUCGAGGCUACGCGAAGAACCUUACCAGGGUUUGACAUGAUGGUGGUAGAAAGGUGAAAGCUGAUCGACCCUUCGGGGAGCGUAUACAGGUGCUGCAUGGCUGUCGUCAGCUCGUGCCGUGAGGUGUUAGGUUAAGUCCUGUAACGAGCGCAACCCUCGUCGUUAGUUAUAAGUGUCUAACGAGACUGCCGGUGAUAAGCCGGAGGAAGGUGGGGAUGACGUCAAGUCAGCAUGGCCUUUAUGUCCUGGGCUACACACACGCUACAAUGGCCAGUACAAUGGGUAGCCAAGUCGUGAGACGGAGCCAAUCCUGCAAAGCUGGUCUCAGUUCGGAUUGCAGGCUGCAACUCGCCUGCAUGAAGUUGGAGUUGCUAGUAAACGCGCGUCAGCAACAGUGCGUUGAAUACGUUCCCGGGGCU
rnacentral:rRNA from 1 species